UUCGAGUGAGGGAUAGUAGCGGCAUCGUUUUGCGGGCCCAUCAGGGAAUAAAGCGCGCAGGCCAGGCCCGCAAAAGAUACAGCGGAUAGCCCGGCCCCGG
rnacentral:sRNA from 1 species